rnacentral:rRNA from 1 species
UACGGGGGGGGGCAAGCGUUGUUCGGAAUUACUGGGCGUAAAGGGCCAGUAGGCGGCCAACUAAGUCGGACGUGAAAUCCCCAGGCUCAACCUGGGAACUGCGUCCGAUACUGGAUGGCUUGAAUUCGGGAGAGGGAUGCAGAAUUCCAGGUGUAGCGGUGAAAUGCGUAGAUAUCUGGAGGAAUACCGGUGGCGAAGGCGGCAUCCUGGACCGACAUUGACGCUGAGGCGCGAAAGCCAGGGGAGCAAACGGG